rnacentral:rRNA from 1 species
CCAAUAGCGUAUAUUAAAGUUGCUGCAGUUAAAAAGCUCGUAGUUGAAUUUCGGGACCAUCAUGUCGGUCGUGCCUCGGUACGUACUGGCAUUGUUGGUUUCUCCCUUCUGACGAACCAUGAUGUCAUUUAUUUGGUGUUGUGGGAAAUCAGGACUGUUACUUUGAAAAAAUUAGAGUGUUUAAAGCAGGCUCACGCUUGAAUACAUUAGCAUGGAACAAUGAAAUAGGACGUUUGAUUCUAUUUUGUUGGUUUCUAGGAUCGACGUAAUGAUUAAUAGGGAUAGUUGGGGGCAUUAGUAUUCAAUUGUCAGAGGUGAAAUUCUUGGAUUUAUUGAAGACUAACUACUGCGAAAGCAUUUGCCAAGGAUGUUUUCAUUAAUCAAGAACGAAAGUUAGGGGAUCGAAGACGAUCAGAUACCGUCGUAGUCUUAACCAUAAACUAUGCCGACUAGGGAUCGGAUGAUGUUAAUUUUUUAGUGACUCAUUCGGCGCCUUACG